GGCCCCUUAGUUUAGCGGUAUAACAUCUGAUUCCAGUUUUCUCGGUUCCAGAAGGUCGUCUGUUCAAUCCAGGCAGGGGUCA